rnacentral:tRNA from 1 species
GCGGGCAUGGUAUAGGGGUAACAUGCGAGCUUCCCAAGCUUGAGUCGAGGGUUCGAUUCCCUCUGCCCGCACCA